CUAAUAGGUGGGGUAACGGCUCCCCUGCGACAAUAUCCCUAUGUGGUCAGGUAGAAGAUAGCACCCCCACAGUGGAACUGACACACGGUCCACAUCUCCUACGGGAGGCAGCAGUGGGGAAUAUUGCACAGUGGGCACACGCCUGAUGCACCAGUGCCGCGUGUAUGAAAAAGCUAUUCGGUGUGUAAAGUACUUUCAGCGGGGAAGAGCGUGUUGAGGUUAAUAACCUCAGCAUUUGACGUUCCCCGCAAAAGACGCACCGGCUAUCUCCGUGCCCACCACCGCGGUAAUACGGAGUGGGCACGCGUAUCUCAGAAUUACUGGGCGUAAAGCGCACGCAGCGCUGUCUGUCAAGUCAGAUGUGAAAUCCCCGGGCUCACUCUGAAAACUGCAUUCGAAAUCUGGCACGCUAGACUCGUGUAGAGGGAGGUAGAAUUCCAGUGUGUAGCGGUGAAAUGCAUAGAGAUCUGGAAGAAUACCGGUGGCGAAGCGCGCCCCCGUUGCACAAACACUGACGCUCAGUGUGAGAAAGCGUGGGGGAGCAAACAGAUAUUAGAUACCUGUGAUACUCCACGCCAUAAACGAUGUACGACGUGGGAUGGUUGUUCCCUUGAGGAGAGUGCUCUCCGGAGCUAACGCGAUAACUACGACCCGCCUGGGAGAGUACGCCCGCAAGGUUAAAACUCAAAUGAAUUGACGGGGCCCCCGCACAAGCGGUGGAGCAUGUGGUUAUAAUUCGAUGCAACGCGAAGAACUCUUACCCUACUCGUGGACAUCCAGAGAACUUAGCAGAUGAUGCUUUGGGUGCCUUCGGGAACCUCUGAAACAGGUGCUGCAUGGCUGUCGUCAGUCUCGUGUUGGGAAAUGUUGGGUUAAGUCCCGCAACGAGCGCAACCCUUUACUCCUUUGUUGCCAGCGGUCCGGCCGGGAACUCAAAGGAGACUCGCCAGUGAUAAACUGGAGGAAGGUGGGGAUGACGUCAAGUCCAUCAUGGCCCUUACGAGUAGGGCUACAC
rnacentral:rRNA from 1 species